CUUUUACUUUAAAUCUAUCUUCUGGUAAUUUGUUUUUCAUAGUUGACUGAAGACAGCGAACAUGUUAUUAGGCAUCAAACAGAAGAAUUUGUAGAUCAGAAUUUCCAGGAAGAUGUGGCUGAUGUAGAAAAACGAAGGAGUGUAACUGAAGCAUUACGAGGUAGAGUAAGAGAGAAGCUGAAAACAUACAAGGUUGUACAAGAAGAAAAAUUCACAGCCAAAAAGCUCUCUGAUACUAAAAUAUACCAGAAAAAGACUGAGGUAAUAAAUUUUGCAAAUAGUAAACAAAAUAAGCUAUAUACAUUAUAUUCAGUUCAGUGCAAAAAAAUGCAUGAGUUAAGUUUCCAAUAGUAUCUUUAACUCUGAUGAAUGACAUGAAUCUACUCACAUCUUGUUACUAAAUAUGUUGGUUAAUAUAUUGCUAUUUGUAAUUGAAUGUAUAUAUAAAAAAUCCAGAUGUCCAUUGUAGCCA
rnacentral:lncRNA from 1 species